GCUCUCGUAGCUCAGUUGGUUAGAAUACCCGUUUAAUAAGCGGAGGUUUUGAAUUCGACUCGCAACGAGAGUA
rfam:Nicotiana attenuata strain TT chromosome 11, whole genome shotgun sequence.